UACGUAGGGUGCAAGCGUUAUCCGGAAUUAUUGGGCGUAAAGAGCUCGUAGGCGGUUUGUCGCGUCUGCUGUGAAAACUGGAGGCUCAACCUCCAGCCUGCAGUGGGUACGGGCAGACUAGAGUGCGGUAGGGGAGAUUGGAAUUCCUGGUGUAGCGGUGGAAUGCGCAGAUAUCAGGAGGAACACCAAUGGCGAAGGCAGAUCUCUGGGCCGUAACUGACGCUGAGACGCGAAAGCGUGGGGAGCAACAGG
rnacentral:rRNA from 1 species